AUUCCUUGACAAAGAAGAGAAGAACCAUAUCAAAGCGAUAACUAUAUUCUAACUCUUCUUUGUAGCUUAUAUUUGUUAUAUCUGCUCAUCUAGGAGUUUCAACCUUCUUCUUCUUAAAAUCUUGUAAGGUUUGUUGGUGAGCCCGUAAAACCAACGGUGUAGGUUUGUUGGUGAACCCGUAAAACUAACGGUGAAGGUUUGUUGGUGAGCCCGUAAAACCAACAUAGGUUUUUAGUGAUCCCGGAAAACCAAGUGUAAAGGUUUUUGGAUUGUGAGCCCGAAAAACAAUCCAACUGUAAUCCGCGAGAUUAUAGUG
rnacentral:lncRNA from 1 species